rnacentral:rRNA from 1 species
UAAGCCGUCUCAGUUCGGAUUGUUCUCUGCAACUCGAGAGCAUGAAGGCGGAAUCGCUAGUAAUCGCGUAUCAGCAUGCCGCGGUGAAUACGUUCCCAGGCCUUGUACACACCGCCCGUCACACCAUGGGAGUUGGUUUCACCCGAAGGCAGUGCGCUAACCGCAAGGAGGCAGCUGACCACGGUGGGAUCAGCGACUGGGGUGAAGUCGUAACAAGGUAACCGUAA